rnacentral:lncRNA from 1 species
GUCUCCAAGAUAUGGAAGGAAGUGAGAAAUGACAGGGCUGCAAGCUUUGUAUGUAGGAGCCCGGCAGGGCGGGGGAGCGGCGAGGAGAGCCAAGUGGAUUCUCAGAAAAGGGGGGAAGCCAUCGAAGAGCUAAAGAUACAGUUAAGCUAAUGAUCUCGAGAGGAUAUCGUCCUGGAUAAGGGUGGAGCCUACGCCCAAAAACAAGAUUACCUGAAAGAGAAAAGAAAGGGGGAAAACACACAGAGAUACAGUCGGGGAGGCCACAUGAAGAUGGAGGCAGAGACAGGAGUGAUGAGCCUGCAAGCCAAGGAAUGCCAAGGGCUGCCAGCAGCCAUGAGAAGCUGAGAGACACAGAGAACGAGUCCUCUGCCAGAGCCUCCAGAAGGAACUAACCCUGUCAAUACCUUGAUUUCGGACUUCUGGACUCCAGAACUAUAACCCUCCUUCCUCCACCUCACAAAAACUCACAAGCUGCAACCCUUCUGAUGUCCACUCCCACACAAACCAGCUUCAGGCCUUUUUCAAGAUGUGACUGGAGUGAUUUGCACCCGGAUGCCUAGACUCGCCAUCUGCUCAAAGACUGCUCAGAAAGCCCUCCCAUGCAUUCCCCUGCUGCAUACCAGCCCACUCUGCCUGCAGCUGCUGUCUGCAGGACUUCAUAUCUAUGCCACACUGUGUAAAAGCUGUGCUUCAAGAAAUCACAAAAACAUUUUCCUGCACCUACUACACAGCCUGAGUGCGGCAUAAGUUGACCUUGCUUGCUAAGAAAUGGGGCAAGAAAUGCUUUUUUGUGUGUGUCAUGUCUGUUUGUUUUUCAAUUAAGAGAGGAAAGCAUUAGGCAGAUGGAAUGUACAUGUGAGGAUGAGGAGACAGAAAACAAGUAGCCCUUUCCAUCAAGAUAGAGGGUUUUCUGGGGUUGCUGGCUAUUGAAUGUCACUCCUGAUUUCUCUUUCCAAGGCACUGUACCACCAGCCUACUGAGAUUGUGUGGGAGCUUUCAUGGGGGUUGUAUUUCACUGAUGAAAAUAAAUUUUUUGCAU